rnacentral:rRNA from 1 species
GACGAACGCUGGCGGCGUGCCUAAUGCAUGCAAGUCGCACGCACCCGCUUCGGCGGGUGAGUGGCGCACGGCUGAAUAACACGUGGGAACCCCCCCCCCGGUGGGGGAUAACGCGACGAAAGUUGCGCUAAUCCCGCAUACGUCCGCAAGGAAAAAGCGCACCCGCGCGCGGGGGGGAGGGGCCUGCGGCCCAUCAGGUCGUUGGUGGGGUAAUGGCCUACCAAGCCGAUGACGGGUAGCUGGUCUGGGAGGAUGACCAGCCAGACUGGGACUGAGACACGGCCCACACUCCUACGGGAGGCAGCAGCAAGGAUUUUUCGGCAAUGGGCGCAAGCCUGACCGAGCAACGCCGCGUGCGGGAUGACGGCCUUCGGGUUGUAAACCGCUUUUCGGGGGGACGACCCUGACGGUACCCCCGGAAUCAGCCCCGGCUAACUCUGUGCCAGCAGCCGCGAUAAGACAGAGGGGGCGAGCGUUGUCCGGAGUCACUGGGCGUAAAGCGCGCGCAGGCGGCAACCUAAGUGUCGUGUGAAAGCCCCCGGCUCAACCGGGGGGAGGCCAUGGCAAACUGGGUCGCUCGAGCUGCG